AACGAACGCUGGCGGCAUGCCUAACACAUGCAAGUCGAACGAGACCUUCGGGUCUCGUGGCUCACGGGUGCGUAACGCCUGGGAACCUGCCCUUAGGUUCGGAAUAACUCCCCGAAAGGGGUGCUAAUACCGGAUAAUGUCUUCGGACCAAAGAUUUAUCGCCUUUGGAUGGGGCCGCGUUUGAUUAGCUAGUUGGUAGGGUAAAAGCCUACCAAGGCGACGAUCCAUAGCUGGUAUGGGAGGAUGAUCAGCCACACUGGGACUGAGACACGGCCCAGACUCCUACGGGAGGCAGCAGUGGGGAAUAUUGGACAAUGGGCGGAAGCCUGAUCCAGCAAUGCCGGGUGAGUGAUGAAGGCCUUAGGGUUGUAAAGCUCUUUUAUCCGGGAUGAUAAUGACAGUACCGGGAGAAUAAGCUCCGGCUAACUCCGUG
rnacentral:rRNA from 1 species